rnacentral:lncRNA from 1 species
GGGGCGGAAGCAGAGAGCGCGGCGGCGGCUGUGGCUCGCUAGCGGCGACAUGGUGAGUGUAGCCGGGCGUGGGGAGUCGAGGCGGCGUACGGAGGUGGGAAAAGUCGAUGCGGCCGGGGCAGCGUCGGGGUGGUCACCCGAGGAGGCGGCGGCAGCAGCAGCGUUGCAUCCGGUAGAGAGGGCGAGGGUGAGAGGGAGGGGGAGGGGCAGGGGCCGGUGGGCCGCCUGUCUAGCUGGGCCGGCCCACCAGAGGCAGGUUUUUUUAUUUUACUUAUUUUUUAUUUUUCUCAUAUGAUGUAUGUGGGGGUAUAAACCCCUAUACCCUUACGGCUAGACUUGGGCCAGGAGGUUUGGCCCAUUACGAGACAAGCUCAAGGUUUGAUCCGACAAGCUCGGAGUUUUGCGCAAGGAAACAAGACGUGGAGAUCAAACAGAAUUCUAGUCGGUUAGAAUAGGAAUUGAUAUCGAACUAUCUAUGGCAAUUGUAACCGACUAGGAUUAGUUUCCGGAUCUGUAAACCUGCCCUCCGAACUAUAUAAGGAGAGGCAAGGGACCCCCCC